AACAGUAUACUUAGUUAAGCCGUAGUCCAUCACGCAUUCUCAUUCUGAGAGAUGAUAUAGGGCCGUCGAAGGCUUGAGAUGAUGAUAAAGAUGGCUAGUUUCAAUUAAACCAUAGGUCUAUGUGCAAAAACUAGGUAGGUCUUUUAGUAAAAGGUGGUACCUACUGAUUCUGAUCUCAAACUAUAAUUUUAUAGUAUUUACAUCUUAUUCUUACCAAUGUAAUAAGAAAAAGGCAGACAAACUUAAUUUAACUUAGAACUGUCAAACCCCGUGACUUUAGAUGCCAGUUGUGACCCUGUUAUUUAAAGUAGAGUAGCACUAAAGUUUACAUGUCAAUUUAAAACUGACCAUAACAGCCUUGUUUUAACACUCAAGUUCGUCUAUACAUCUACAGCCAGCGCUCCAAGCGGAAACCUUGCGAAGUU